CCUCAUACACGCUGUUCUGAUCUCCAAGGAACAUUGCAAGGUGAUAGCUGUACUUCCAUUCUGGCCUCGUCGCCCUUGGUUUCCCCUGUUACAGAGGUUAUCAGUGGACCUGCCUUGGGAACUUCCAGUCUCAGAAGACCUGCUGAUUCAGGGUCCAGUGUUUCAUCCGGAGCCUCACAAAUUCAGGCUCCAUGCAUGGCUAUUGAGAGGAAGUCUCUAGUUGAACAUGGCCUUUCGGACCAGGUUAUCUCUACCCUGUUACAUUCCAGGAAUCCUUCUACUUCUUCUACUUACCACAAGGUAUGGGAAACCUUUGCUCGAUGGUGUAAUUCCA